UCUUUCAAAACUGCAGGACGGCCUUUAU
rnacentral:sRNA from 1 species